rnacentral:rRNA from 1 species
GAUGAACGCUAGCGGCAGGCCUAAUACAUGCAAGUCAAGGGGCUCAGCAAUGGGCACCGGCGGACGGGUGCGUAACGCGUACACAACAUACCUUUAAGUGGGGGAUAGCAUUGGGAAACUGGUGGUAAUACCCCAUAAUAAUAUUGGGAGGCAUUUCUUGAUAUUUAAAGCUUCGGCGCUUAGAGAUUGGUGUGCGUGCGAUUAGCUAGUUGGUCGGGUAACGGCCUACCAAGGCGACGAUCGGUAGGGGGUGUGAGAGCAUGACCCCCCACACGGGUACUGAGACACGGACCCGACUCCUACGGGAGGCAGCAGUAAGGAAUAUUGGACAAUGGAGGGAACUCUGAUCCAGCCAUGCCGCGUGAAGGAUGAAGGCGCUCAGCGUUGUAAACUUCUCUUGGAUGGGAACAAUAACUUCUACGUGUAGGAGCUUGAGGGUACCAUCAGAAUAAGCACCGGCUAACUCCGUGCCAGCAGCCGCCGUAAAUAC